CCCGUCAACCAAACAACUGAAUAUUACAACCAAAUGAGCCAAGCAAGGUAGUGUAACAUACCACUCGUAAUCUUGCACUUUGUAAUCCUAUUAUAAAACAUGAUCUUACUCUUCUUGAACCAAACAUUCACUUCAAAACACGAUGCCUGUACUUUUUUCUAACUGCAAUCCAAAUAAAGGAAAUGUGUCAAAUUCAUGCUAUCUUAUAUAUAUAUACACAUAUAAGCACAAGUAUUUGUCGACGAUGCCGACUUACUAAUGGUAAAUUUUCAUAGUGUUAAUUUGCACUAACUAUACAAAUGAGGUAUUAGCAUAAUAACAAGGUUGAGGUUUUGGGAACUUUCAGAUCUCAAGUUGAAGUCCCAUCCUAUGUAAGUGUGUGAGUUCUCUUCUAAUUUAUUCAGAUUAGUCACAAUUUUAUUAAUUGUUGAGUUAGUUAUUUAGUUCAAAAUAUGUAUUUAUUGGUUUUAUUGGAACGAUUGUAACUUUGAAAAGAAAGCAUAACACUAAGAGGAUCAAAAUGUACUGAACUAAAAUAUAGAUACUAUCCCAACUUUAAACUUAAUAUAAGGACUAAACUAUAAUUUGAUAUUUUUUUAUUUUGUUUUAAUAAUUUCAAAUAUGAUAUAUAUUUAAUAACAAUUACAUUUUAAUUAACGUUCAAAUAAUGCUUGAGUAGUGAAGACAACAUGUAAGCAAAAAUAAUUGUAUCUAUAUAGUAUUAGUAUGUUAUAAUCAUAUUUAAUCAAUGUAUUAUAUAAAUAAAUUUGCAUACAUUAAUAAUUUUAAUCAUAUAAAUUUCAAAAGGUGCAUAUAUUCAUAUUUUAUAAUGGUAAGAUUAGACUAUAUUUUAAAAUUUGUUAAAAGAAACAAGGACUUGAGUUUACCAAAAAGAAAAAGAAAAAGAAAAAGAAGAUAGGAUUAAAUCGAGAUUUAAGAACAAGGACUGACUAUAAAAUUUAGCCUUUUUCUUUUUUUCAAAAAACUUGAAUACAAAUGAAUGGAAUAAACCAAUGAAGGAUAAGCACCUGUCCAAAGAUGCACCGGAGAAAGUGAUAAUUGGGUUAACAAAGGUUGGAUUAUAUAAUAAUAAUUAAAGAAAAAGGGAAAACCCAAAAUGGUAAUAGAACAGUAGACAAAGUGGCCAAAAUAGGUGUUUGUAUAUAACAAAACCCAAAAUAGAAUUCCAAAAAUGGAAAGUGUGUUGAAAGAAGGAGAGGGUAAUGGGAAAAUGGUUAAAAGCAGUAUUUCUAUAAAGGGAAAAAAAAAACCAAAGGAGCAGUUUGUCUGAGUGAAUGAUGAAAGCGAUCUAACACUUACACCACCCCAAUUAUUGUCUAUUUUUCUCUUCCAAUGUUUUUAAAAAGAAGUGUACAUAUUGGAAUAGGGACCAAUGCCUGCAUAGUCAAGUCCCAUUCACCAUUACAAAUCCAACAUUUCUAACCCACUUUGUAAUAUUUAAAUCUUUUUACUUAAAUUAUUGUCUUAUUUUUUUCUUUCUAAGACCAAAGGUAAUGAACAAGUUGGAAGGUGAAAAGUUAGUCUGUGUGUUCUUCUCUUUUUAUUGUUAUUGUAAUAAAGAGAGUAUAUUUAUUGUAUUGAUGGGUUUGUAUUGUAAAGAAGAAGGCAGAAAAGCUGCAGUGGUUGAAGAAAUCCUAUAAAUGGAAUGCCACAACUUUUUCCAAAGGCAAAAAUAGUAUCAAACCAACCCCACAUCAAAGGCCAACCAUUACCAUACCUCUCCCUCCGCUUAUUAUUAUAUAUAUAUAUAUAUAUAUUUUAAUUUUACUCCUUUCGGUUCCUUCUACCCUUUGCUUUCUCUUCAUUUUUCUCUGACUUCGUCCCCACUUUUUUCUUCUCAACCACCGACUAGGUUAUAUUCUUUACAGUUUUUUUUAUAUAAUUAACAUUUUAACAAUUCAAUCCUUGAAUUUAUCAAGAUAUGGGUUUAUAUGAUAUUUUAUCAUAUUAAUCUAAAAUAUUGUAUAUAUUAAUAUAUAUUUAACAAUUGAAAGUUCUUCACUUAAAACAAUUUGUAAAAAACCUUUAAUUUAUACUUAAUUUACAUAAACUAAACAUGAAAUAUUAUUAUUGAGACUUCUAAAAGAGAAAUCCAAGGAAACAAGGACUCCCAAUCUAAAGAUAUUAUUUUAAGAUUCAAAGUAGGGUUAUUACAUAUAAAAGUCAAAUGACGAAGAAAUUAACUAAAUUGAGUACCAAGUUUUUGUUGAGAAAAAUUGGAAUGAUUUAAUUAAAUAAAAGAAAGAAAAUUGGAGAUAUGUCGAAACACUAGAAAAGCAAUCAAAAUUCAAUAUAUUAUAAAACGAAUAAACAAAAAGAGAUAUGAAUCUGCAGAUCCUAUGCAAUGGAAAAGAGCAUCUAAUAAGGAGACAGAGAGAGUCUUUUACGCUUUGGUCUUCAAAAGAUUAAUAUGUAUUAGAAAAGAAAAGUAAUAGCACAUGAUUUGACAUCUUAUUUUAACACAUUUGAAACAAAUUUAACUCUUAUUUCAAUAUUUGAGUAUCAAUCCAUUCAACAAAAGAAUUAACAAAGUCAAUUAAAAACUCAAGUGAAUAUUAUUUUAGAUUGAAACUUCAACUAAUGACACAUUUAUUUUUCCAGGGCUGUUUUACUAUUUAAGCCUUCAUAUAUUUCAAUUUGGGGCAAAACAUCUUUCAGUUAAAUUCUCACCCAAUUAUCUCAUUGUUCUAACUAGGUAAAUUAUAUUUUUAGGUGAAAAUCAUAAAUAAAAAUAAGAUGACAUAAAGUAAUUUAUUGAUUUAUACACUUGGAAUGAAUGGUUUAGAAAAAGGAAAAGUAAUUGGGUCUACCUUCAAAAAGAAAGGGAGAGGGAUUGAAGGAGCUUGAAG
rnacentral:lncRNA from 1 species